rnacentral:rRNA from 1 species
GAUGAACGCUAGCGACAGGCCUAACACAUGCAAGUCGAGGGGCAGCACAUGAGUAGCAAUACGAUGGUGGCGACCGGCGCACGGGUGAGUAACACGUAUGCAACCUGCCUGUAAGAGGGGAAUAACCCGGAGAAAUUCGGACUAAUACCGCAUAAUACCACGAGACUGCAUGGUUUUGUGGUUAAACAUUUAUGGCUUACAGAUGGGCAUGCGUAUGAUUAGAUAGUUGGUAGGGUAACGGCCUACCAAGUCUACGAUCAUUAGGGGUUCUGAGAGGAAGGUCCCCCAACUGGUACUGAGACACGGACCAGACUCCUACGGGAGGCAGCAGUGAGGAAUAUUGGUCAAUGGGGCAGAGCCUGAACCAGCCAAGUCGCGUGAAGGAAGAAGGUUCUAAUGGAUUGUAAACUUCUUUUGCAGGGGAAUAAAGGGACGUACGUGUACUGUUUUGUAUGUACCUUGCGAAUAAGGAUCGGCUAACUCCGUGCCAGCAGGCCGAC